rnacentral:lncRNA from 1 species
GUUCUGGAUCUUAAGGUGAUUUCUUUGGAAUAAAGCUUGGAUUGACUAUUCUCUAAGCUAGUGGUGAGUCCUCAAGAUUCGAGGACAUAUGAGAGUCUUUAGUAGUUUCUUUCAUGUCAUUUUACGUUUCAGACUAUGUUGAAGGGCUGUGACCUUAUUAUUGAUUCAAAGUUAUAUUAGAUGGCCAUAUGAGACAAAGUUAGACUUCC